rnacentral:rRNA from 1 species
UGCGUAGGUGGGUUGGUAAGUCAGUGGUGAAAUCUCCGAGCUUAACUUGGAAACUGCCAUUGAUACUAUCAGUCUUGAAUAUUGUGGAGGUCAGCGGAAUAUGUCAUGUAGCGGUGAAAUGCUUAGAUAUGACAUAGAACACCAAUUGCGAAGGCAGCUGGCUACUCAUAUAUUGACACUGAGCACGAAAGCGGUGGGGAUCAAACA